rnacentral:rRNA from 1 species
UCGAUGGAGAGUUUGAUCCUGGCUCAGGACGAACGCUGGCGGCGUGCUUAACACAUGCAAGUCGAGCGGGGCCCAACCGGUGGCAACACCGGGGAAGGCCUAGCGGCGAACGGGUGAGUAACACGUGAGCAACCUGCCCCGAAGUUCGGGAUAACACCGGGAAACCGGUGCUAAUACCGGAUGCCCUCACCGGGCCACAUGACCUGGUGAGGAAAGAAUUUCGCUUCGGGAGGGGCUCGCGGCCUAUCAGCUAGUUGGCGGGGUAACGGCCCACCAAGGCGUCGACGGGUAGCUGGUCUGAGAGGACGACCAGCCACACUGGGACUGAGACACGGCCCAGACUCCUACGGGAGGCAGCAGUGGGGAAUCUUGCGCAAUGGGCGAAAGCCUGACGCAGCAACGCCGCGU